rnacentral:rRNA from 1 species
ACGAACGCUGGCGGCACGCUUAACACAUGCAAGUCGAACGAGAGAAGAGGAGCUUGCUUUUCUGAUCUAGUGGCGGACGGGUGAGUAACACGUGAGCAAUCUGCCUUUCAGAGGGGGAUACCGAUUGGAAACGAUCGUUAAUACCGCAUAACAUAAUUGAACCGCAUGAUUUGAUUAUCAAAGAUUUAUCGCUGAAAGAUGAGCUCGCGUCUGAUUAGCUAGUUGGUAAGGUAACGGCUUACCAAGGCGACGAUCAGUAGCCGGACUGAGAGGUUGAUCGGCCACAUUGGGACUGAGACACGGCCCAGACUCCUACGGGAGGCAGCAGUGGGGAAUAUUGCACAAUGGAGGAAACUCUGAUGCAGCGAUGCCGCGUGAGGGAAGAAGGUUUUAGGAUUGUAAACCUCUGUCUUCAGGGACGAAAAAUGACGGUACCUGAGGAGGAAGCUCCGGCUAACUACGUGCCAGCAGCCGCGGUAAUACGUAGGGAGCGAGCGUUGUCCGGAAUUACUGGGUGUAAAGGGAGCGUAGGCGGGAUCGCAAGUCAGAUGUGAAAACUAUGGGCUUAACCCAUAAACUGCAUUUGAAACUGUGGUUCUUGAGUGAAGUAGAGGUAAGCGGAAUUCCUAGUGUAGCGGUGAAAUGCGUAGAUAUUAGGAGGAACAUCAGUGGCGAAGGCGGCUUACUGGGCUUUAACUGACGCUGAGGCUCGAAAGCGUGGGGAGCAAACAGGAUUAGAUACCCUGGUAGUCCACGCCGUAAACGAUGAUUACUAGGUGUGGGGGACUGACCCCUUCCGUGCCGCAGCAAACGCAAUAAGUAAUCCACCUGGGGAGUACGACCGCAAGGUUGAAACUCAAAGGAAUUGACGGGGGCCCGCACAAGCAGUGGAGUAUGUGGAUUAAUUCGAAGCAACGCGAAGAACCUUACCAGGUCUUGACAUCGUAUGCAUAGCUCAGAGAUGAGUGAAAUCUCUUCGGAGACAUAUAGACAGGUGGUGCAUGGUUGUCGUCAGCUCGUGUCGUGAGAUGUUGGGUUAAGUCCCGCAACGAGCGCAACCCUUACUGUUAGUUGCUACGCAAGAGCACUCUAGCAGGACUGCCGUUGACAAAACGGAGGAAGGUGGGGAUGACGUCAAAUCAUCAUGCCCCUUAUGACCUGGGCCUCACACGUACUACAAUGGCUGUCAACAGAGGGAAGCAAAGCCGCGAGGUGGAGCAAACCCCUAAAAGCAGUCUUAGUUCGGAUUGUAGGCUGCAACCCGCCUACAUGAAGUCGGAAUUGCUAGUAAUCGCAGAUCAGCAUGCUGCGGUGAAUACGUUCCCGGGCCUUGUACACACCGCCCGUCACGCCAUGGGAGUCGGUAACACCCGAAGCCUGUAGUCUAACCGCAAGGAGGACGCAGUCGAAGGUGGGAUUGAUGACUGGGGUG